UACGUAGGGUGCAAGCGUUGUCCGGAAUUAUUGGGCGUAAAGAGCUCGUAGGCGGCCUGUCGCGUCGGCUGUGAAAACCCGGGGCUCAACCCCGGGCCUGCAGUCGAUACGGGCAGGCUAGAGUCCGGCAGGGGAGACUGGAAUUCCUGGUGUAGCGGUGAAAUGCGCAGAUAUCAGGAGGAACACCGGUGGCGAAGGCGGGUCUCUGGGCCGUUACUGACGCUGAGGAGCGAAAGCGUGGGGAGCGAACAGG
rnacentral:rRNA from 1 species